CAGCAGUAGGGAAUUUUCCGCAAUGGACGAAAGUUUGACGGAGCAACGCCGCGUGAACGAAGAAGGCCUUCGGGUUGUAAAGUUUUGUUGUUAGGGAAGAACAAGUACCGGAGUAACUGCCGGUACCUUGACGGUACCUAACCAGAAAGCCACGGCUAACUACGUGCCAGCAGCCGCGGUAAUACGUAGGUGGCAAGCGUUGUCCGGAAUUAUUGGGCGUAAAGCGCGCGCAGGCGGUUCCUUAAGUCUGAUGUGAAAGCCCCCGGCUCAACCGUGGAGGGUCAUUGGAAACUGGGGAACUUGAGUGCAGAAGAGGAAAGCGGAAUUCCACGUGUAGCGGUGAAAUGCGUAGAGAUGUGGAGGAACACCAGUGGCGAAGGCGGCUUUCUGGUCUGUAACUGACGCUGAGGCGCGAAAGCGUGGGGAGCAAACAGGAUUAGAUACCCUGGUAGUCCACGCCGUAAACGAUGAGUGCUAAGUGUUAGAGGGUUUCCGCCCUUUAGUGCUGCAGCUAACGCAUUAAGCACUCCGCCUGGGGAGUACGGCCGCAAGGCUGAAACUCAG
rnacentral:rRNA from 1 species